UACAGAGGGUGCGAGCGUUAAUCGGAAUUACUGGGCGUAAAGCGCGCGUAGGCGGCUUUGCAAGUCGGGUGUGAAAUCCCCAGGCUUAACCUGGGAACUGCAUUCGAGACUGCAUUGCUAGAGUAUGGGAGAGGGAAGUGGAAUUUCCGGUGUAGCGGUGAAAUGCGUAGAGAUCGGAAGGAACAUCAGUGGCGAAGGCGACUGUCUGGACAGAUACUGACGCUGAGGCGCGAAAGCGUGGGGAGCAAACAGG
rnacentral:rRNA from 1 species